UUUUAAUUUUACUACUUAAUUUUUUAAUUUAUUUAAUUUGAGUAGGUCAACGGCACUUUGAUUUUAAAAUUUAAGCUGAUUAUUUGUUUUAACAAACUUAUAAUUAUAAGAAUUGUAUGAAAUAUACUAACUAAAUCUGUAAAGAUAAAUAAUACACUCAAAUUUUAAAGUCAAAGUAUUUUUGAGUGCCUCAAAUCAAACAAAUUAAAAGAUCAUAUAGUAAAAUCAAAAUUUUGAAAAGUUGAGUAGUUAAAUUU
rnacentral:lncRNA from 1 species